rnacentral:rRNA from 1 species
GGUUAAGCGACUAAGCGUACACGGUGGAUGCCCUGGCAGUCAGAGGCGAUGAAGGACGUGCUAAUCUGCGAUAAGCGUCGGUAAGGUGAUAUGAACCGUUAUAACCGGCGAUUUCCGAAUGGGGAAACCCAGUGUGAUUCGUCACACUAUCAUUAACUGAAUCCAUAGGUUAAUGAGGCGAACCGGGGGAACUGAAACAUCUAAGUACCCCGAGGAAAAGAAAUCAACCGAGAUUCCCCCAGUAGCGGCGAGCGAACGGGGAGCAGCCCAGAGCCUGAAUCAGUGUGUGUGUUAGUGGAAGCGUCUGGAAAGGCGCGCGAUACAGGGUGACAGCCCCGUACACAAAAAUGCACAUACUGUGAGCUCGAUGAGUAGGGCGGGACACGUGGUAUCCUGUCUGAAUAUGGGGGGACCAUCCUCCAAGGCUAAAUACUCCUGACUGACCGAUAGUGAACCAGUACCGUGAGGGAAAGGCGAAAAGAACCCCGGCGAGGGGAGUGAAAAAGAACCUGAAACCGUGUACGUACAAGCAGUGGGAGCCUUGAUUUAUCAGGGUGACUGCGUACCUUUUGUAUAAUGGGUCAGCGACUUAUAUUCUGUAGCAAGGUUAACCGAAUAGGGGAGCCGAAGGGAAACCGAGUCUUAACUGGGCGUUAAGUUGCAGGGUAUAGACCCGAAACCCGGUGAUCUAGCCAUGGGCAGGUUGAAGGUUGGGUAACACUAACUGGAGGACCGAACCGACUAAUGUUGAAAAAUUAGCGGAUGACUUGUGGCUGGGGGUGAAAGGCCAAUCAAACCGGGAGAUAGCUGGUUCUCCCCGAAAGCUAUUUAGGUAGCGCCUCGUGAAUUCAUCUCCGGGGGUAGAGCACUGUUUCGGCAAGGGGGUCAUCCCGACUUACCAACCCGAUGCAAACUGCGAAUACCGGAGAAUGUUAUCACGGGAGACACACGGCGGGUGCUAACGUCCGUCGUGAAGAGGGAAACAACCCAGACCGCCAGCUAAGGUCCCAAAGUCAUGGUUAAGUGGGAAACGAUGUGGGAAGGCCCAGACAGCCAGGAUGUUGGCUUAGAAGCAGCCAUCAUUUAAAGAAAGCGUAAUAGCUCACUGGUCGAGUCGGCCUGCGCGGAAGAUGUAACGGGGCUAAACCAUGCACCGAAGCUGCGGCAGCGACGCUCAUGCGUUGUUGGGUAGGGGAGCGUUCUGUAAGCCUGCGAAGGUGUGCUGUGAGGCAUGCUGGAGGUAUCAGAAGUGCGAAUGCUGACAUAAGUAACGAUAAAGCGGGUGAAAAGCCCGCUCGCCGGAAGACCAAGGGUUCCUGUCCAACGUUAAUCGGGGCAGGGUGAGUCGACCCCUAAGGCGAGGCCGAAAGGCGUAGUCGAUGGGAAACAGGUUAAUAUUCCUGUACUUGGUGUUACUGCGAAGGGGGGACGGAGAAGGCUAUGUUGGCCGGGCGACGGUUGUCCCGGUUUAAGCGUGUAGGCUGGUUUUCCAGGCAAAUCCGGAAAAUCAAGGCUGAGGCGUGAUGACGAGGCACUACGGUGCUGAAGCAACAAAUGCCCUGCUUCCAGGAAAAGCCUCUAAGCAUCAGGUAACAUCAAAUCGUACCCCAAACCGACACAGGUGGUCAGGUAGAGAAUACCAAGGCGCUUGAGAGAACUCGGGUGAAGGAACUAGGCAAAAUGGUGCCGUAACUUCGGGAGAAGGCACGCUGAUAUGUAGGUGAAGCGACUUGCUCGUGGAGCUGAAAUCAGUCGAAGAUACCAGCUGGCUGCAACUGUUUAUUAAAAACACAGCACUGUGCAAACACGAAAGUGGACGUAUACGGUGUGACGCCUGCCCGGUGCCGGAAGGUUAAUUGAUGGGGUCAGCCGCAAGGCGAAGCUCUUGAUCGAAGCCCCGGUAAACGGCGGCCGUAACUAUAACGGUCCUAAGGUAGCGAAAUUCCUUGUCGGGUAAGUUCCGACCUGCACGAAUGGCGUAAUGAUGGCCAGGCUGUCUCCACCCGAGACUCAGUGAAAUUGAACUCGCUGUGAAGAUGCAGUGUACCCGCGGCAAGACGGAAAGACCCCGUGAACCUUUACUAUAGCUUGACACUGAACAUUGAGCCUUGAUGUGUAGGAUAGGUGGGAGGCUUUGAAGCGUGGACGCCAGUCUGCGUGGAGCCGACCUUGAAAUACCACCCUUUAAUGUUUGAUGUUCUAACGUGGACCCGUUAUCCGGGUUGCGGACAGUGUCUGGUGGGUAGUUUGACUGGGGCGGUCUCCUCCUAAAGAGUAACGGAGGAGCACGAAGGUUGGCUAAUCCUGGUCGGACAUCAGGAGGUUAGUGCAAUGGCAUAAGCCAGCUUGACUGCGAGCGUGACGGCGCGAGCAGGUGCGAAAGCAGGUCAUAGUGAUCCGGUGGUUCUGAAUGGAAGGGCCAUCGCUCAACGGAUAAAAGGUACUCCGGGGAUAACAGGCUGAUACCGCCCAAGAGUUCAUAUCGACGGCGGUGUUUGGCACCUCGAUGUCGGCUCAUCACAUCCUGGGGCUGAAGUAGGUCCCAAGGGUAUGGCUGUUCGCCAUUUAAAGUGGUACGCGAGCUGGGUUUAGAACGUCGUGAGACAGUUCGGUCCCUAUCUGCCGUGGGCGCUGGAGAACUGAGGGGGGCUGCUCCUAGUACGAGAGGACCGGAGUGGACGCAUCACUGGUGUUCGGGUUGUCAUGCCAAUGGCACUGCCCGGUAGCUAAAUGCGGAAGAGAUAAGUGCUGAAAGCAUCUAAGCACGAAACUUGCCCCGAGAUGAGUUCUCCCUGACUCCUUGAGAGUCCUGAAGGAACGUUGAAGACGACGACGUUGAUAGGCCGGGUGUGUAAGCGCAGCGAUGCGUUGAGCUAACCGGUACUAAUGAACCGUGAGGCUUAACCUU